rnacentral:rRNA from 1 species
UACGAAGGGGGCUAGCGUUGCUCGGAAUCACUGGGCGUAAAGCGCACGUAGGCGGAUUGUUAAGUCAGGGGUGAAAUCCUGGAGCUCAACUCCAGAACUGCCUUUGAUACUGGCGAUCUCGAGUCCGGGAGAGGUGAGUGGAACUGCGAGUGUAGAGGUGAAAUUCGUAGAUAUUCGCAAGAACACCAGUGGCGAAGGCGGCUCACUGGCCCGGUACUGACGCUGAGGUGCGAAAAGCGUGGGGAGCAAACAGGG